GAAAAAGAACACUGAGGUAGGGAAAUAGUGUCUCCAUCUCUUCUUCCUAGUAUUCAUGUCUACCAAAUGCUUUCUUUGGCUUCCUCUGAAAGAAGCCAGUUUCAGCAAGUGAGUUUGUGAUUCUUUCUCCUUUCAGGUACCUGUUUCCCAGGCAACUACUGAUCAGGCAUUUCUGGACCCCAAAACAACAAACUGAUUUCUUAGAUAUCUAUCAUGCUUUCCGGAAGCAGUCCCACCCAGAAAUUAUUAGUUAUUUAGAAAAGGUCAUCCCUCUCAUUUCUGAUGCAGGACUCCGGUGGCGUCUGACAGAUCUGUGCACCAAGGUAUUCCUGCAGUUAACCCUUCCUACAAAUGUGGAAUCUUGUUAGAUUCAGUGUGCACUAAACUAGGUAAGAGGAGUAGUCAGGACUUUCCUAACAUCUACAAAUCUCUUACCUCUUCCAAGAUACAGCGUGGUACCCACCCAGCAAUACAUGAUAUCUUGGCUCUGAGAGAGUGUUUCUCUAACCAUCCUCUGGGCAUGAACCAACUCCAGGCUUUGCACGUGAAAGCCUUGAGCCGGGCCAUGCUUCUCACAUCUUACCUGCCUCCUCCCUUGUUGAGACAUCGUUUGAAGACUCAUACAACUGUGAUUCACCAACUGGACAAGGCUUUGGCAAAGCUGGGGAUUGGCCAGCUGACUGCUCAGGAAGUAAAAUCGAUAGGUGUCGAACUUGGCUGGGAGAAUGGCUGCAGAUUUCCUGCAGCCUGAAAGAAGCUGAGCUGUCUCUCUUGCUGCACAACGUGGUCCUGCUCUCCACCAACUACCUUGGGACAAGGCGCUGAAUGAACCAUGGAGCGGAUGGCAUUGUCCUGCAGUCGUAUAGUAUAGCAGUGCAGGAACAAACAGCACUUGCCAGCAAAGUCUGUGUGUACUGUUAAGUGUGUGGGAGGCAGAGAGAGGAGCAGGGGCCAUGGGCUUCACAGCAUGGCACACAUGUGGGAACUGCAGACAUUCCUCUCACAGCUAGAACUGAAACAAACCCUCUUGCUAGGGGUGGUCCGUGUGAGGUGUCAUCCUGUCCCCCUCAUAAUUACUAAUAGCUGGAACUGGCAGCAGCCUCUACUGGGCUUUUACUGUGAUGUGUUCAGUUCAUGUCCUAGGAAGUCAGCUUUUGCCCCAGGUGGGAAUCCUUAUUUGGCUUAGGACUGAUCCACUUCCAUGUUACUUACAUCUGUGGG
rnacentral:lncRNA from 1 species